AACGAACGCUGGCGGCAGGCUUAACACAUGCAAGUCGAACGCCCCGCAAGGGGAGUGGCAGACGGGUGAGUAACGCGUGGGAAUCUACCCAUCCCUACGGAACAACUCCGGGAAACUGGAGCUAAUACCGUAUACGCCCUUUGGGGGAAAGAUUUAUCGGGGAUGGAUGAGCCCGCGUUGGAUUAGCUAGUUGGUGGGGUAAAGGCCUACCUAGGCGACGAUCCAUAGCUGGUCUGAGAGGAUGAUCAGCCACAUUGGGACUGAGACACGGCCCAAACUCCUACGGGAGGCAGCAGUGGGGAAUAUUGGACAAUGGGCGCAAGCCUGAUCCAGCCAUGCCGCGUGAGUGAUGAAGGCCUUAGGGUUGUAAAGCUCUUUCACCGAUGAAGAUAAUGACGGUAGUCGGAGAAGAAGCCCCGGCUAACUUCGUGCCAGCCGCCGCCGUAACAC
rnacentral:rRNA from 1 species